rnacentral:rRNA from 1 species
CCUACGGGAGGCAGCAGUGAGGAAUAUUGGUCAAUGGGCGGAAGCCUGAACCAGCCAAGUAGCGUGCAGGAUGACGGCCCUACGGGUUGUAAACUGCUUUUAUACGGGAAUAACGCGCCUUACGUGUAGGGCUUUGCAUGUACCGUAUGAAUAAGGACCGGCUAAUUCCGUGCCAGCAGCCGCGGUAAUACGGAAGGUCCGGGCGUUCUCCGGAUUUAUUGGGUUUAAAGGGAGCGUAGGCCGCAUGUCAAGCGUGCUGUGAAAUGUCCGGGCUCAACCCGGGCCUUGCAGCGCGAACUGGCGUGCUUGAGUCCGCGGAAAGCAGGCGGAAUUCGUCGUGUAGCGGUGGAAUGCUUAGAUAUGACGAAGAACCCCGAUUGCGAAGGCAGCUUGCUGCAGCGGAACUGACGCUGAUGCUCGAAAGCGCGGGUAUCGAACAGGAUUAGAUACCCUAGUAGUC